rnacentral:rRNA from 1 species
GUCGAACGCUGGCGGCGUGCCUAAUACAUGCAAGUAGAACGCAGUUGCGAACGGGUGCGUAACGCGUAGGUAACUGCCUCCUAGCGGGGGAUAACUAUUGGACACGAUAGCUAAUACCGCCUCCUGUGAGAUGGACCUGCGUUGUAUUAGCUAGUUGGUGAGGUAAAGGCUCACCAAGGCGACGAUACAUAGCCGACCUGAGAGGGUGAUCGGCCCCACUGGAACUGAGAAACGGCCCAGACUCCGACGGGAGGAAUGAGUAGGGAAUCUUCGGCAAUGGAGCGAAGUCUGACCGAGCAACGGCGGGGGAGGGAAGAAGGUGUUCGGAUCGUAAAGCUCUGUUGUUAGAGAAGCGUUAACUAACCAGAAAGGGACGGCUAACUACGUGCCAGCAGCCGCGGUAAUUC